rnacentral:rRNA from 2 species
GUGCGAGACCGAUAGCGAACAAGUUACCGUUGAGGGAAAGAUGAAAAGAACUUUGAAAAGAGAGUUAAAGAGUACCUGAAACUGCUGAAAGGGAAGCGAAUCGUGUCCAGUGUCUAUAAUCUGCGGCAUAUUUCAUUGGCGGCAGUGUGCGUGCUUUUGCGUCGGAAGCGGCUUUUGUUGCUCUGUGCUUUUGCUGUGCGUGCUGUUGCUGGUGCCCUGUGUUGCGGUGGGACGUCAGAGUCAGUUUGUAUGCUGCGGGAAAUGGCUGCCGAGGAGGUAGGUCGAGAUUUCGGUCUUGGCUGUUAUAUCUUGGUGGCUUGUUGUCGUGGUUGAGACUGAGGUGCCUACAAUGUGCUUUUGAGUGUACCGGGUUCUCAUUUGGUGGACUGUUUGGAUAGCUUGCUAUGCUUGUGGUUUUUUCAUCGGGUGAUUGAGUCUGGUGGUAACUUGUUGCUGUUCGGGACUUUGAA